UACGGGGGGGGCAAGCGUUGUUCGGAAUUACUGGGCGUAAAGGGCUCGUAGGCGGCCAACUAAGUCAGACGUGAAAUCCCUCGGCUUAACCGGGGAACUGCGUCUGAUACUGGAUGGCUUGAGUUUGGGAGAGGGAUGCGGAAUUCCAGGUGUAGCGGUGAAAUGCGUAGAUAUCUGGAGGAACACCGGUGGCGAAGGCGGGUCUCUGGGCCGAUACUGACGCUGAGGAGCGAAAGCGUGGGGAGCAAACAGG
rnacentral:rRNA from 1 species